rnacentral:rRNA from 1 species
UACGUAGGGUGCGAGCGUUAAUCGGAAUUACUGGGCGUAAAGCGUGCGCAGGCGGUUUGUUAAGACAGAUGUGAAAUCCCCGGGCUUAACCUGGGAACUGCAUUGGUGACUGGCAGGCUUGAGUGUGGCAGAGGGGGUAGAAUCCACGUGUAGCAGUGAAUGCGUAGAGAUGUGGAGGAAUACCGAUGGCGAAGGCAGCCCCUGGCCAAUACGUGGACGCUCAUGCGACGAAAGCGUGGGGAGCAAACAGG